GCCAGGUGUGGUGGUGCACACCUGUAAUCCCAGCAGCUCAGGAGGCUGAGGCAGGAGGAUAGCAAGUUCAAAGCCAGCCUCAGCAAAAGUGAGGUGCUAAGCAACUCGGUGAAACCCUGUCUCUA
rnacentral:sRNA from 1 species